rnacentral:lncRNA from 1 species
UCCUCGAGAGAAGAUCACCAAGAAUAAGAUUCUCACUUAUUAAAUAUGUAUAGAUUAUAGCAGUGUACACCUCUAUCUUUUUUUUGAACUUGGUAACUUUGUAUUAUAUCACAAAACAAUCCAUGGGUUGUAUUGUAAUCUUAUAUACAAGUGUACUCCUGAUUUCACUUCUCUAUGUCUAAAUUGAGUCUAGCACAUCAA